rnacentral:rRNA from 1 species
UUUCCGGUUGAUCCCGCCGGAGGCUACUGCUAUUGGGGUUCGACUAAGCCAUGCGAGUCUAUGGACUUCGGUCCAUGGCGGACGGCUCAGUAACACGUGGCUAACCUACCCUCAGGUGGGGGAUGACCUCGGGAAACUGAGGAUAAUACCCCAUAGGGGAAGAGGUCUGGAAUGAUCCUUCCCUGAAAGGAUAUCCGCCUGAGGAUGGGGCUGCGUCCGAUUAGGUAGUUGGUGGGGUAACGGCCCACCAAGCCUACGAUCGGUACGGGCCUUGAGAGAGGGAGCCCGGAGAUGGGGACUGAGACACGGCCCCAGGCCCUACGGGGCGCAGCAGGCGCGAAACCUCCACAAUGCACGAAAGUGCGAUGGGGGAACCCCAAGUGCCUAUGCACAGCAUAGGCUUUUCCCAAGUGUAAAUAGCUUGGGGAAUAAGGGCUGGGCAAGUCCGGUGCCGGCAGCCGCGGUAACACCGGCGGCCCGAGUGGUGGCCACUCUUAUUGGGCCCAAAGCGUUCGUAGCCGGUCCAGUAAGUCCCUGUUUAAAUCCUACGGCUUAACCGUAGGGCUGGCAGGGAUACUGCUGGACUUGGGACUGGGAGAGGACGAGGGUACUCCAGGGGUAGCGGUGAAAUGCGUUGAUCCC